rnacentral:misc_RNA from 1 species
GGGUCCAUGAAUCAUCACAGUUCAGCAUUCCAUUGGAGCGAAGAUUUAAUCUUCGUCGCCGGUGAGCCACUUGAAGAUAGCCUCAUCUUGCUUGUAGAGGAUCGUACAACGAAGGAUCCAGCCCUUCUAGGGCACAUAAUAAUUCCUGUGAGCUCGAUUGAGCAACGGCUCGAUGAGCGACUCGUGCCAGCCAAGUGGUUCGGAUUGGAAGGUGGACCAGGUGGGGCCUACUGCGGGAGGCU